rnacentral:miRNA from 1 species
CUGAGCAGCUCGGCGGGCUGCCACU